rnacentral:rRNA from 1 species
UGAGGAAUAUUGCACAAUGGGGGAAACCCUGAUGCAGCAACGCCGCGUGGAGGAUGACAGCCUUAUAGGUUUUAAACUCCUUUUCUGAGGGAAGAGAAAGGACGGUACCUUAGGAAUAAGUCACGGCUAACUACGUGCCAGCAGCCGCGGUAACACGUAGGUGACGAGCGUUAUCCGGAAUUACUGGGCGUAAAGGGCACGCAGGCGGUUAGUCAAGUCCGACGUGAAAUUUCUCGGCUUAACUGGGAGGCGUCGUUGGAAACUGGCUAACUUGAGGUAAUGAGAGGGGUGUAGAAUUCAUGGUGUAGUGGUGGAAUGCGUAGAUAUCAUGAGGAAUACCAGUGGCGAAAGCGGCACCCUGGCAUUGACCUGACGCUCAUGUGCGAAAGCGUGGGUAGCGAACGGGAUUAGAUACCCCCGUAGUCC